GAUCAAGAGUGAGAUGCUUAACCAGCUGAGCCACCCAGGUCGUUAGCCUGGGCAUCACUUAGCUGGCUUCUCUGCUCUGGGCUCAUGGCCUGAAAUUGAGGAUCUGUCGGGGCUGCUGUCUUUUCUGAGGCCUGGAGUCUUCUUCUAAGCCCACUAUUUGUGGGCAGAAUUUGGAUCUUUGUGCUUAUAAGACUGAUAGCCUCAGCUCCUAGAGGUCACCUGCUGAGAGAAAUUCUCUAGUUGGCUUUGAAGAAGUCCACUGCCGUGUUGUGAUGAGGCCAAGUGGCUAGAACCUGAGGAUGGCCGCUGGGAGCUCAGAGUGGCCGAGUUCAUGUUGAAUUUCUGGAAACAUACCCACCAGUGUGGUUAUUACCUUAACAACAAUGCAGACAGUGCAGGCGCAUUUGAAAAUCAAGUUCAGGGACGCCAUGUUUGUCAUCGGAUGCCUGCUUAUACCAUUCAAGAAGGGUCCUUUUUGAAAACUUGUAAACAUUCCCAAGAAACGAAAUCUUCAUCACAUGAUGAACCCCUUAGACAUUAUUUGGGAAGGAUUUAUUUUAUGUAUGUGAGUCAAUUCCAGAUUUCUUUAAGGGUUGAGUAUAUGUUCAACUUAAAUUGCCUGCACUAACUAGCUUCCUUCUUUCUGCCUGUGAAAACAGUGCUUCUCACACUUGCAUGUGCACAGGAUCACCUGGAAGCUUGGUAAAAGGUAGAUUCAUGUUGAGUAAAUCCGGGUUGGGCCUGGACAUUGUACAUUUCUUACGAGCUCCGGGAUGAUGCCAAGGGUGCUGGUCUGUGGGCCAUAUUUGGAGUGGCCAGAUGUUCAAGCGAGAAAAAGAAAGAGGGCAGAAAGCUCCAGGUUGGCCAGUCACUAGUGUCUUACCCUCACACACACGCCAGAUGGUGUUGUCAGUUCAGGAAACAUACCACAGCUUUACUUGAGGCCGAGUCUAUUGGUCUAAAAAUCCUCCAACUCAUGGGUCCACAGGAUGCAGACGUGGAAGGUGCCCAGAGGUCACUCCGUGCCCAAGGUAGCCAAUGGCAGAACUGAGGCCAGGCAGGGAAAGGGUUUUGCCUGAGGUCACACAGCAAGUUAGGGACGGCACUUUCUUUGCCAUUCCGUCAUUCCAUCCGGUCCCCUGUGUUCUAAAUUUGGUCUGGGUGUGUUUUUCUUAAAGUGUUAUAUUGGUAUUCUAUUAAAAAAAAAGUCGUAUCUUCAAACAUUGGCUUUAAUAUAUUAUGUUAAAUUAUAAAAUAAAAUUAGUCACCAAUCUUGA